GACGAACGCUGGCGGCGUGCUUAACACAUGCAAGUCGAACGGACCAGUACCGAAUGACAUUUUCGGAUAGAUUUCGGUACAGGGUUAGUGGCGGACGGGUGAGUAACGCGUGGAUAAUCUGCCCCGAUCACCGGGACAACAGCUGGAAACGGCUGCUAAUACCGGAUAAUACUCAAAUGCGGCAUCGCAUUUGAGGGAAAGAUGGCCUCUAUAUAUAAGCUAUCGAAUCGGGAUGAGUCCGCGUCUGAUUAGCUAGUUGGUAAGGUAACGGCUUACCAAGGCGACGAUCAGUAGCCGGCCUGAGAGGGUGGCCGGCCACACUGGGACUGAGACACGGCCCAGACUCCUACGGGAGGCAGCAGUGGGGAAUCUUCCGCAAUGGGCGAAAGCCUGACGGAGCAACGCCGCGUGAAUGAAGAAGGCCUUCGGGUCGUAAAGUUCUGUCUUAAGGGAAGAAGUCUUUUGGUGUAAAUAAUGCCAAGAGGUGACGGUACCUUAGGAGGAAGCUCCGGCUAACUACGUGCCAGCCGCCGCCGUAACAC
rnacentral:rRNA from 1 species